GCUCCUCUCCUCCUCACCUCCGCCUCCUCCACCUCCGCCUCGCAUUGCUGGCCUCAGCCGCCGCCGACCAGCACAGUUCUUUGCAGAGGAUUGGUGCCUACAGCAUCUGUUGCGAAGAACCAAGAAGUGGUCAGCCUUGUCUAUUAAAAGAAGCUGUGAAAGGAAGCCAUAUCUCAUAAACCUCCUCUGCUGGGGGGUCACUGGGUCGCAGGAGAACUGGAGAUCGUUGGAGGAGCCCACAGCUCCAGGCAGAGAAAUGGGCAAGUGAAAGUGCAUCACGUGUAACGUCUGGGAACAGCGCGGAGGCAGCCAGGCAGCCAUUGCAGGGUUUUGGCACCUCGCGCGGGAAUGAGCACAUGCAGGUCAGAUUUAUAGCUAGCAGGACUGCACGAAGUCUCCUUUGUGUGCUGUGGGAACACUCAGAGGAGGACAUUAAAGUUUAUCACUGAAGUUCAGGUGCCAGGCUGCAAGAGAUAAAACCACCGAGCCACCUACCUCAUCCCUUUCCCAGACAAACCGCCCUUUGAAUAAUCUUCUUGCCUGCUCGGUCUGUUUUGAGCCCCAAAGCUGAGUACUGAAGAGGCACUGCAGGGGCUGUUGGCAGAGUUUACGCAGCAGUUCGAGCGGGGCCGGGGGGGCUGCAGGGAGCCGCAGUGGUGCCUUUGCCGGUGCCGAUAACCGGCGAUUGCCUUCCCACGCGGCCCCGCCGGGGCAGGCCGAGGUGCCGCCGCUCUGCUGCUUUCCACAACAACCUGUUCGCCCAGAAGGACAGACGGGAUCUCCCACGGCUCAGUGGGGAAGCGUCCCAGACUGCUCCUGCACGAAAAGCCUCCGCGUACGCCCCCGGGACGCGUAUCGGAGGGUGGCUGAAGUGAAAUUCAGCUCUGCUGCUUGGCCACUCGCAUCCAGGUCGGGGCAGACGUUUGGAGGACAACAUCCCUUCCCUACCCCAUGCUGCACGGGACGCAGUGUAGGGCACGUGUCCAGUAACUCUUCACCAUGGGUACAAAAAUACGGUCUUUAUUGGUUGUGAGGAGCCACAAGAGAAUUGAUAUCGCAGGAAAACCAACCUCGUCUCGCUGCUCCACCUAAAGCGAAGGUAAGGCUGCAGUCAGAAACCACAUUCACACGAAUGCUACCGGGAAGUGUGACUUACUGUAUGAGAAAUGAAUGAGUAAGAGUUUGCUGACUAAUCCCUACUUAAAGGAAAUAAAUUGAUUUAUUAUACGAGCAUGACAAAUUGAGGCACUGGUCUUGCAAGUUGGGCUGUGUGAGCAGAUCUCCGUGUCCACGUGGCUCUGAUAGGGCCCAAUAAGGCUGAGAACUGGCUGUUGUAGUUGUCAAACCGGCAGUAGAGCUGGCUCGAUAGCAAAAGUUUGGAGAGUUUGUGUUUAUGUUUGUCUGACACGCCUGAGAUUUGCCUGGGAGCCAUGGGACCUACAGCACCUAAGCUGAAGCACAAGGACAGGCAGCUGCUUUGUCAGCAGGGCAGCUUUCCCCAGUGUGCGUGCUGGUAGGAAAGCACUGCCUUUUCUGGUUUUAAACACAAACAAAUUGCUUUUAGGACCUUGGAUCUGAUGAGGGGAGUGUCACCAUGUGUCCAACACAAACAAAAAACCAAGCUGAGCCAAGAGCAGCCCGGUGCUCGUCUCCCAUUCCAUGGCUGUAACCACAAGAGACUCCUCUUGGCUUGUGUGAGAGUGGGAAGGAAUGUAAUCACCAAGCAAAAAAUGUUGCUUUUACUUGAUAGUUGAACAUUACGUAGGCAGCAGUUAUGGUUUUCUACUGAGCAUAUUCUUCUAAUACUUUUCUAUUCUGUGGAGUCAUAGACAGGCCCAUCCUUGCAGUAGAGAAAAUGAAACUGAGAUAGGGAAAAUGCAACCACUUUUUUCCCAUGACACAGAUUCAUAAAUUUUGUUGUUUUUUUUCUAAGUGGAACAUUUAUACCAAAAAGGCCAGUGUGGUGUUAAGCCAUCAACAUGAUGACUGAUGUGCUUUAUGGGGAGGGGCUACAAGUGACCGGGGCAUGCAGAGGAUAGGGGACUGGCAAGAGAAAAUGUUUAGAUGAUGGAUUUUGAUCCAGACCGAGGUGGAAGUGAGUGCAAGUCACCACAGCCUGGUAACGGGACACUGGCCUCUGUGCAGUGAGCCUGUGGGACCACGGCGGGCCUCUGCAUCCCAAUGUGGGAUGACAGCAACUGUCAGCACGGCUCGCCAGCCGUCAUCAUCAGCCGGCUCUGUGUCUGAAUGUGCUUUCCCAGCCACCACCAUAAUUUUUUCCUGCUCCAUGGCUUGAAUAUUUUGGGAAGGAGGUAGGAAAAAGGAAGCCAGCCAUAUAUGAUGAUUGUACAAUCAAGGGUUGAUUUUGAGUUUCCGGUUGGAGCAAUAAUGGACUACUGUUAGAAAUCUGGUUCAGUUAAGUAUGUUCUGGCAGACACAGCUUUAAGUAUAGAUGCAAAGUCCAGUUUGACUUUGUCAAGAUGUACGCGCACCCUUAACUUCAAAGAUAUAAAUUUUCCCACUGACUUCCCUGGAACUAUUCAUGCAUUAAAAAUAUGCAUGAGCCGUUCUAGAAAUAGGGAAUAUAAAUGAGACUACCAAAAUAGUUAACCAGAAAUACUUUCUGUACAAUGAAAUAGGAAAAUUUACAAGGGGAGUGCACAUAGGAUCUCUUGGGAAUAGAUAAGGUCUAGGCCACAUUGCUAAAGGACAAGGCAUUGUUGCUUACAUAGGAGAGGGUGUUUCCAGCUACCUGUAGUGCAGACUAGAGUGCAGUUUGCAUUCGUUACCCUAAUUAAGCACUUUACUGGAAUUUAGCAUGUGGUGGAUUGGCAGGAGGCAACUUUAACUUGGGCUGUGCGGCCGAGAUCCUUUCAUUGCGCUGACAACCCUGAGUCCUGCCAGCAGAGCAGCACACUCGGUAGUGCCUUUCUGUUGGUGGCUUCUGUGCAAAGUCAGACUUAAACAAAGAGAACUGAUAAUAAAUGAACAAGAUGUACAUUACCUAAGCAGUCUGUUGUGGGCAAGAUAGCCAGAGUCUGGUGAUAAGUAAUGAGUUAUCAUUCAAGGAGUAGCUUCUCUGGACUAAUAUGACUUCUUCUAUUAGCUAUUACCCUCUAAUUAUUUUAUCUGGUUUAUAUUCACAUUGAAAAUGUUUCUAUUUUUAUUGUCUGUAUCUGCUUCUUCACAUUGUUUCAAGUUUGUUUCUCUUGAUAGGUUUAUUGUUUAGCCUAUGCUGGCGUCAUUAGCAUUUAAAUCUUUAAGUUGUUCUGGAGUUGCCAUGGCCUAUGUUUGUGAAUGUUAGCUGCACAAACUUCCAGCAAAUAAGCUUUGUUGUGACUUGAGCUAGUGGUUGGAGAUGAACAUGAACCCAGCCUACAGCACUACAAAUACAUUUUGUGGCUGAAGGCCGCUUGUUUUUGCAAAGCUGCACUAUACUCAAGCCUUUUAGACUUGUGUUUGCUAAAGCAUCUUGAAUCAGACCUUUAAGGUCUGCUGUUCUGUGGCAGAAGUUUUGGCAAGCUGCAUUCUCAACUAUCUUCUAUGUUUCCUUUCAUGCAUUAAAAACGGAUUCUUGAACAAGGCUGUCAGCUCAACGUCUACAAAAAGGCAACUCGUUAUUCAGGAGUAGUUCAGGCUUUUACACAGUUGCGUAGGCUGGAGGGGGGUUUGGUUCUUUGGAUCAAGACUACACUCUGACCUCUCUUUUCUCCUGUACUCAAAACCUAAUGCCACCCUACCCAGGAUAAUCAGGAUCUGCUUUUGAGUAUCAAGACCAGUGAACUGGUGGGAAGGAAACCUGUGGGGAAACAAGGCGAGUCCAAAAUGAGAUGAGGCUCCAGUCUCUGCCUGUAUUUAUUCUGGUGUACAGGGGGCUUCUUUGGGCAAGGGGAGAUUCACUGCUCUGAGCUUUGGCACACUGUUCCAGCCAGGGGUGAAAUCUGGGACGGGAGACCACAGUGUAAGAGAAUGUACCUUGCAUUCAGUUUUCAUGAAACAUGCUGGAGCUAAAGGAUUUCUCCAUUCCCUUCGAAUGUUCUAUUUCAUACCGCGAUGGCUUUGCAAGAUGAAAUGCCUUCAGUCCUAUCUAUGUGUUGCUGUUGCUCACAAGAAUCCUAGAAGCAGCUGGCUGUAUUGUUUAGUCUGUGGCUGAAUUAACAUUUUAGUUUUAGUACAUCCUACCCUGUAAUUGUUCUGAAUGGGUUUUGGAAAGAGUCUGAAAACCUACCUGCUGCCCACAAAUAAUGGUUUUGGCUUUAAAUAAAGGACAGGACAACAGUGACACUGAAAUCCUCCGGAGCAGAGAUUAGCCAGUCACCGAUUCUAAAUGCUGGGAACUCAUUUUGAACUUUUACACUGGUAUUUGGUGAUUUCUUAUCCUGACAGAAAGCACUUUCAUUUGUGCUACCUUUAUUUUCCUAGAAGCUAGACCUUGCUCCUGGAGAAAACAGGUUGAAGGAUCAAAAGAUCUAGAAAAUCAGCGUUGUUCUGUGUCUGCAUGUUUCCAUUUCAGGCUCUAACUCAGCUGUGCUGUAUAUGGAAAAGUGCAAAUUCAGAAGGAAUAGUUCAAAGUUUUACUCUUGGCUUUCAGAUGCUGUGAAAUUCUGUUCUCUUUCUAGCCAGUGCAUUCAUUUAAAUACCUCUCUGUAGCUCCACCUGCACUCUCAUCUAGUACUCCCUCCUACUUCUCCCAUUGCCCGUGAGAGCUUUGAUCAGUCCCUGAGCAGAACAGCACUCUUGUGUAUUGCACAGUCCAAACUGGAGUGUGGCUUCAGCCCAGAAAAGAAACCCAGAGACUGUGUCCCUUUCUUGCCUUUUGCCUCUCAAAUCUCCUGUGGGUAGGAUACCACACACACUAUAUGACUUACCAGAAAAGGAAGUAUUGGGAAAUUUUGUUUCCUGGAAGAGAUAUCAGUAGUGGCAAUAAAACCCAAACAAACACGAAAAUAAAAGCCUGUUUUGAAGUCUCUGGUAUGCUGCUCUGCCUCGUUAACAUUCAGUUCAUGGCCAAUACUGCCAGGGUUGGGUAAAAUGUCACCAAAACCAGUAGCUACAACCCCUGUCCUUCAUUCAGAGCAGCAAAUCCACUUGAGUUUCUUUACAAAACAAAAGUGAUUCCAACACAAAGCGCAGGCAUGAGAUCCCGCCAGAGCAGAGCCACGUGUAGAGCUAAGGGAUUUCAUGAGUAUGAGAGAAAGGGGUUUACGUGGGGGUUUCUGUACUCCAGGACAGUGGUUAGGAGUCGCCACCACCACGUCCUGUGCUCUGGAGAGGAGACGCCUGCUCUCCCCGUGCCGGGAGGAAGGUUUCUCCAGGCGCCUCCAGGGCAGACGCGCCUUGGGGCUGUGCUGCUGGGGGCCGGUCACUGGGGUGACCUGCGGACGGGACGUCACCGGGAGAUGAUCUGCAACCAGCAAAGACCUGAGAAAUGUUGGAAAUUCCCGUUCCCACCGCUGAGGACGGCUGAUUGGCUGCUGUGGCGAGCAUGAUGAAAAUCAGGCACGUUAGGAUUAACUUUCUGAGUCCAGGGGAGUCUCACUUACUCCCCCACCGUGGUGGGAGAUGAAACCUUUCCUGAGCAUUUAGCAGCCAGCAGUGUGCUCGGGAAGCCGAGCAGCGCAUCACGGACACUCUCUGGCAGGCACCAGGCAGCUGAGCCCUGCCUGCCUCCAGCUAGCACCGACUGCGGGUUCAUUUAACCACACCUGCGGGAGUGAAGGAGAAAGUUCAGCCAGUUGUUAAGAUGCUUAUGGCAUCCCACAGGACAUUUCCACAAAAUCGACAACUGUGCUAGCAAAUGCUUUUGUGCAUCUGCUCAGAGGGACAGGGAUGUUUAAGUUAUCAUCCUCAGCCAGGGACUUCAGGCUUAAUGCUCAGAGCUUGUGCAGGCCGUAUCAAUGGGAAGGGUUGCUUAGCGUCAACCUGCACAGCUUGUUGUGAACAGGACUGCAGAAUAAUCUUAUUUUGAACGCCUCCAUGGAUUUUAAAGACAGCGAGCCCUUUCCUUUAACUGCAUGGGCUAUUCAAAUACCUGGCUCUACUGGCUUCUGUAACUUCAUUGCCUAUGCAACCGAUCUGUAUCAUUUGCUCAGGGUAUUCAUAAAUUUUAUUAGUAGCAUCAUUUUUUUUUUUUUUCUGAUGGGUGAAAACACAAGCACCUGUAUAAUUUCACAAAACGUGAAAUUGUCAGAAAAGUGCUACUGAUACGUAUGGUAAUUGAAGUGCAAACAGUGGCAGUAGCGUCACUGCAGAACCACAAAGUUAAGGCUUUAAAAUAAAGGAUGAGGGAAAGUUCAGUCAUGACCUUGUAAGUGAAAGCUCCCCACCAUGGGGCAAGACUGCUCAGCAGCCGUGGGGACAGGGUGGCCUCCUACAGCCUCCCGCUGCCCAGGAGGGCUUGAACUGUGUCCCCUCCCCAGCUGGAAGGAGCUGUGACAGCAGCUUCCAGUGGCAACGGCUGUUCCCACCGGGACACGCUCAGAGAGUUCCGAGGAGCAGAGCAGCAGCUCCGGUGCUCUGUCCUCUCCACCUCUUCACGGUGGCCAGUGGCUGCUCCUGCACCCUCCUGACCACUUUAGAGCCUGUUUGCUGUUUCCAGCUAAGCCAUUCCUCGCCACUGUGGGCAUUUUUCUACAGGCUCUCAAGUGAAACAGCCCUUUGCCUGCCAACUUUUGAUAACCAUAUGGCUUUCCUUUUUUCUCAUGCUUUAGCAAAGCCUUGAGGAGUUCCCCAAACAGCCUUCCCCCUUCUCUACCCCUUUCCCUCUCACUGCCCUACUCAAUCUGCGCAGUAGUUAACACCCAGCUUCUGGAUGGUUUGCCUGCAUGAGUUGAUAGCCUGGCUGGAAAUUAAUAAGCUCUUAUUCAUUAUUCAGCUUCGCAACAGACAAUUUUUAUAAAAUAUUCUUCACAGUUUUAUAUCCCAGAGCCUCUUCCCGAUUGUGGCAUAGCUCUACUUUGGAGACUCUUUCCCGCCUGCCCUUCCACACAUUUUGAACCUGGAGCAGGAGAAAUCUCCAUCAUUUCAGGGGUGGCCUCAGGUGCCUGAGACAAGCUGGCUUGUUCCUCCAUGGCACUGCAUUUCACAUCCGUGAGGCAGUAGGUGAUCAGCCUUCAGAUUAGCUGUGCAGGGAACUUGUUGAAGUCCACUUAAGAAAUGUCAUACUUGCACUGCUACGGCCAAUACAUUCAUUGGAGGGCACGACCCUAUCGAUGAACCAAACCAGUAAAAGCGUGCUGCUUUUUGAGGGAGGCUAAGGCAAACCCAGCAAGUGACACACUGCUGGAAUUCUCUAGACUAAAACCUCCUGAUGUUGUGCAGCUGGAAUGGCACAGCUGCCACUGUGCAAAGCAGCGAGAAGGUUCUCCUGACCUUAUGAUUUUGGGGACAUGCUAGAGUAAUUUCUGUGCCUAAAAAUUCCACUUUAUAGUCCCUGGGAAGAUGUUUGUUUGUUUUUUGGUUCUGACAAUGCCAUUUUAUAGCAAGUUGUGGGUCCCUCUGGGACUAAUCUUACUUAUGCCUUGUAAAUUGUCGGGUGCCAUGCGGUGCCUUGUUUACUUCUGCAAUUGUUCUUUACUAGAUCAGAAAAACACUCUGUUAAUAUUUUGCAAGCCAAAAGCAGCUUCAGAGUUGUUAAAACUGCCUGAGAUUCUACUGAGCAGAAACCAACCUGCUUUGAUGAGAUCUCCACUACCUACACUGAUUUUCUAAAUCCAUUCAUUGCAUGGCCCAAAUACGGCAUAGAUUUGUUACAUGACUGUGGGAUAAUACUUGGAAGUUGUGCACUUCUGUGAAAAAGGAUUGUUUGUUGAACACAGUGAACGCAGAGCACAAGAGCCUGGGGGUCAGCGGGGGGCUCAGAGACGGCCCUACUGAAGUGCUGACCGAGUCUGGAAGAUGGGUUUGCAGUUGGAGGUCUGGCUGUUCAAAAGCUGUGGACUUGCUAUUGCAUUUUCACUGAGCAGUGUCAUCAUACUGGAUACGCAAACUGUUACAGUUGGAAAGUGUGGCUCAAGCUUGCCCCGCCAGAUGACAAUGCCCAAUCUACCAACACCCACAGUAUCACUCGCGUCCAGUAAAGGCAAAUGCGAUGAUGUUUAUUGAUCUCUGCAGCACUGCUGUUUGUAUUAUGGAGGAGGAGGAGGCUGAGAGUCCAUGGAGCAGUUGGGCUGAAGACAGAACUGUCAGUAAUGGAGUUUGAGCAGAGCUUUUGAGAUGCACUUCAGAGGCAGUACUGCCCACCAUAGCGUGGUCUUCUCACUCAGCAGUAUGAUGAAGUAGAGGAGUAUGCAGAUAAUGUAAGUCAAAAAUCCUAUUUGCCCCUUCACAGUAUGGACAGUUGGUAAGGGAGGCAAAGAGUUUGCUCCUUGACCUUCGCCAGACCACCUUCGAGGCCUUGAUGUCCAUCUGCCACCACCAGGAACCUCAUGGCCUUGCCUGGCCUCUUUUUGUAGCAACAGCCUAAAAAUCUUGUCCAUCUUACACUCAAAACACAAGAUUUCUUCUCUCUUACAUCUCCCUGGAGGGCUAGGAGGUCUUUAGUACAGGCCCAGCUACAUGUACGAGAAAGAAGCCUGGCAAAUGGUUUAAACUAAAAACUAUAGCAGUUGUGCCAACUCCUGCAGUAUGAGAGAGCCAAGAUCCAGAACGUGGCUCUUCACCAGCAUGUGGCAAGGCGGUGACAUCUUGUCGCUGCCAUCCCUGAGCACGGAGGCCCACACAGGUACACCGGGCAGUUGGCUGGGGCAGGAUGCAAUGCAGUGCGGGAAAGCGGAGGGAAGACUGCCAGACUUUUCCCAAGGCAAGUCACAGCUACGUUUCUUCAAAAUCAUCUACUCCAGUGUGACAUUACUCCCGAUCGCAAAUAGAAGGAAGUCUCCAAAGCUAUUUACCAGUUGCCCUGAUGUGUCACAGGGGUGCGAUUUUUUCUAUUCGGAUAUCCCAGUCUGCACUGGUAGGAAGGGUUAUAAACUCUCAGCAAAGGAGAAAACUAUCCACUUCCAGUAAAGCACAGUCCUGACAGAAAGCUGUGAGAGUGCUUUUGGAGCUAAGUGCUGACUGCUGGGAAGAUGCCUAGAGCUGCAGGGAAAACAAAAACAAAACCAACCAACCAACCAAAAACAGAAAAAAGAGAAGUCUGUUUCUACAUUUAAUUCCUCCUGGGUCCAGAGAAGCAGAGUUUUAUAUCUUCAUUAUAAAUAAGUUAUACAGCAUCUACAGAGUGGAAUCCAUCACCAGUUUCAUCCCUUGGUGGGAAGAAUCUGCAGGUCAACUAUGGUCAACUUUAUAUCUGAAAGCUUUACCAUGCUAGACGUGUUAGUUAACAGUUCAAGAACCCUUCUGUCGUGCUACACACCAUUCAUAGCUCAGUGCCAUCCUGCUGUCGUCUUUCAGGCACAGGGCUAGCCAGACCUUUUAUUUCAGAGACUGCUGCAGGGCAUCAGAAUUUUGUGUCAAGAAGGUCAUGCAGAUGCAUUGUACUGAUGCUCCUUUCCCAGUCUGAAAGUUUCUUUCACAGCCAAAACUUCGCAGCUCUUCCAGUGUUUCCCCUUCUUCACAAAAUACCAAGUCCCAUGCUACUGUAUAGUUGUUGGACAUGUUAAAACUGUGAGCAGCUUUUACACAGGUGAGGACUUCCUACACAAGUUCAAGCUUGGUGGCAUGGCAUGGCUUUCUCCUGAGGUGGGUAUUAAGCUUGGCGUAAGGCUUGCUGAUUGCAAAAUGACGUUGCCCAUUGCUCUGGUAUAGCUGCGUAUCAGAACUACAUUUAAAUAAAGAAGUUCAAGAGACAGUUAUUGCCACAGCAAAUAACUAAAAUGACAUGUUACUCUUCAGGACAUGGUCCAAGACUUAUGUCCAGUAGCCAUCGAAACGGUAUUGUCCUCAGCCUUUGUCCAUUAGUCUCCAGUAAAAAUACAAUUGCAGGUAUGUUUCCACAGAAGAACCUUUAUCUUCUGCCAUUUCCAAACAAUACGGAAAAUUAAGUGGCUGGAAUCAGUUAUGUAAGAAAAAGGAAACUUGAAUUUAAUGUGCAAGUACAAACUUAAACCAAGCAAACUGUUAUUUGUAUUUUAUUUCUCUAUAAAAAAGUCUAGGAACACAAAAAACAUUCUGCUGAAUAUAAAAAUAUUUUCUCUCCAGGUGUUCAUAGACAUACUGCUUUAUUUAAAAAUAAAAAUAAAACCUGCAAAAUACUUUGAUUUGGUUUUGCUAAAAAGCUCUCUCGCUAUAAAAAGGAUGGGGAAAAAGGGUGAACUUGUUCCUCUUUAUUUCAAGCUUGCUGCUUUAAUUUGAUGUUGCAUAUGAAGCAACAAACAAAAAUUCUAAGGAAUGUAAAAAGUUCCUAUGCCUACAAAAGCCUUAAGAAUACAACACCGAGCUGAAGAACAAUGACACCGACACGAAAGGAUUUUCAUUUCUAAGAAAUACCUGGAUAAAUGAGAGUUUAGGAAUACAUGCAUUCUAUCCUCAAUGAUGUGCAGCGGCACUUGUCUUUUGCAGGGCUGGUUUCCAGCGGCACAGACCUACCAACCCAAAACGCGCUUCCUCCCUGGGGGCCUGGGCUGCGGCAGCACAGCCCACACCAGGAGAGACAGAGGGCUGGAGGCUGGCUGGUAACUUAGGUCUAGGUGAAAGAAAAUUUGGAUUUAAUAUUACACACCAAAUAUGAUGCUACAUUUAAUAUACUGUUCCUAGCUCGUGAGGAGAAACUGCAUUCUGCACUAACUACAAUUUCUACAUCGCUUUAAUGGAGAAAAUUCUCCAGGAAAAAAAUGGUAAAACCCAUUUUUAAUACCCACAGUUCAUUAAGGUACAAACAAAAUUGCUGCUUCCCAGGUUCUUUAUCACUGCAUCCUUCUUAGACCUGUAUCCUAAAGGUUAAUUUUUCCAAAUGGCCUAAUUUUGGCAGAGGAUAAGGUCCGUGCACUCUCAGCUUGCAUACUGCCUAUCCCUCCUGCAAACUUAGAGAUAUGCAGAUGCUCAGCAUCUCUGAAAGUUAGGCUUGCAAUACAUCUAAAACAAAUAUGCAGAACAUGAAUAUUACAAUUACGAGAGAAUUAAAAAAAUCUGUCUGCAUUCAAAGUAAAAAUAAAACUGGGAAAUUUCAAAAUUUCCUGAGGUGCUCUUUUUGAUCAAUUAGAACUUUGGCUUCAUUUCAAUUUUGGCAUUUCUUUUAUAGUACAAUAGAAAAUAUAAACUACAUUGCGAAUAAUAUAAAAGCUUUUUUUCCAGACGGGAAUGCUGGAACGUUUCCAUUGUUUUUUUUUCUCAAACGUAUUUUUUAGUAAGUAUGAUUUUAUGAAGCAGUUAAUCUUCAGUGGAGCUAUAUGCUCCAACAGAAAAGGGGGACUGUUGUUUUCUUUGUAGUAGAAAUUAUGUAGUUCUAUAAUUUUCACAUUUACAAGUUCUAUCAUUCCAUCUGAAUCUUCCCAUUUUUUUUAAUAAAAAUUAAAGUAUGCCCUUUGUAAUAAUUCCCAGUGGGAGUGUCUACUCAUAUUAAGCCAUCUAACUUGGGUCUGGUCUAGGCUGAAUGAUUAAGUUGUAUGUUUUUCAUGUAUUUGUGUACUUAUGCAAGUUCUGAAAUAAAAUAAAUAUUGCUGUUGAUGGAAGAGAAAGCACAAAUUAAACGACAGUCUGUAAGAUCAUCACCUCUGCAGAGACAUCAAAAAGGCAAAGUUCUCUCAUGUGUCACAGUAAAAGACCUGGUGGUGUGAAGAAGUGCCCAGAUGGAAGGUUUAAAAUAAGAGGGGUAAAAAAGAGGAAGUUUUCCCACAGAACAAAUAAUUAAACUGAACUCAUUGUGAAAAAAUAUGAUGGAACCCCAGAGGGUAAGUUAAAAAUGGAUUGGAUGAAUUCAUGGAGGACAGGCUUGAUCAGUGUCCAUCAAACACGGGUCCGACCACACGCUCUGGCCAGCAGCUCCCCAAGGCCCAAGCUGAGGAGGCCGUGCCAGUGAAAACGGGUUAUUCUCACACUCCUCCCAAAACCUUUGGUACUGGCUGUGGUUAAAGGCAGGACACUCAUUGUCUUUGCAAAACCCCAGCUGAAUUCUAUAAACAACAGUAUAGAUCCAUGCUCCCCACUCUAUAUAGACAAGUCUGGGUAUUCAAGCUGAACUGCUUGAUUAGUUCAAGGGGGAUCUAGGGGAUCCAGAUAUACAUUCAGCUUGAAAAAGCUGGCUUCAGAAGUCAGGGAAUUAAAAGGUAGGUGUCUCAAGAGUUUUUUAAGCAUCUUCCUCAAAAAGAUACUAUGCUAGAUACUUCUUCUUAAUAUGCAUUUUUGUUAAUAAUCUGUUCGAUCUAAACUAUAAUACGUGCUGUGCAACAUGACUGAACGAAUAUUGCUGUGAGAAAUAUUUUCCCCUUGUUUGAGUAAUUUAAAUUUGUAAGCUAAUGUAAGUUUUUGUAUUAAAUAAUGUACUAUGUGGAGUUUUCUUUCUUGUAAAGCACUUUGAAGCUUUCAAAGGGCACUCUAGGUUAAUAAAUAAUAUGGUAUUCUUUGCCAGAACUGUAGGGCAUUUCCCAUAAGUUCUGAAUCUUCUUUGCCAGAAUUACAACAUGUUGCAUGCCAAAUCCUGCACACAAAUGUUCUACAUGUGGCAAAUACAUAUUGGUAAAGACCAGA